UACGGAGGUUGCAAGCGUUGUUCGGAAUGACUGGGCGUAAAGGGAGCGCAGGCGGUUCGUUAAGUCCGGAGUGAAAGCCCGGGGCUCAACCCCGGAGGGUCUUCGGAAACUGGCGGACUCGAGUACGGAAGAGGAGAGUGGAAUUCCAGGUGUAGCGGUGAAAUGCGUAGAUAUCUGGAGGAACACCGGUGGCGAAAGCGGCUCUCUGGUCCGAUACUGACGCUCAGGCUCGAAAGCGUGGGGAGCAAACGGG
rnacentral:rRNA from 1 species